rnacentral:rRNA from 1 species
CCUACGGGUGGCUGCAGUGAGGCAUAUUGGUCAAUGGACGCGAGUCUGAACCAGCCAAGUCGCGUGAGGGAUGACGGCUCUAUGGUUUGUAAACCUCUUUUAUAAGGGAAUAAAGCGAGGGACGUGUCCCUUUUUGCAUGUACCUUAUGAAUAAGGAUCGGCUAACUCCGUGCCAGCAGCCGCGGUAAUACGGAGGAUCCGAGCGUUAUCCGGAUUUAUUGGGUUUAAAGGGUGCGUAGGUGGGGUGUUAAGUCAGUUGUGAAAGUUUGGGGCUCAACCGUAAAAUUGCAAUUGAUACUGGGAGUCUUGAGUAUGUUUGAGGCAGGCGGAAUGCGUGGUGUAGCGGUGAAAUGCUUAGAUAUCACGAAGAACCCCGAUUGCGAAGGCAGCUUGCUAAGCUAUGACUGACGCUGAUGCACGAAAGCGUGGGUAUCAAACAGGAUUAGAUACCCCAGUAGUC